rnacentral:rRNA from 1 species
UACGAAGGGGGCUAGCGUUGCUCGGAAUCACUGGGCGUAAAGGGUGCGUAGGCGGGUCUUUAAGUCAGGGGUGAAAUCCUGGAGCUCAACUCCAGAACUGCCUUUGAUACUGACGACUUGAGUCCGGGAGAGGUGAGUGGAACUGCGAGUGUAGAGGUGAAAUUCGUAGAUAUUCGGAAAGAACACCAGUGGCGAAGGCGGCUCACUGGCCCCGGUACUGACGCUGAUGUGCGAAAGCGUGGGGAGCAAACAGG